rnacentral:rRNA from 1 species
UGGGGAAUAUUGCACAAUGGGCGCAAGCCUGAUGCAGCCAUGCCGCGUGUAUGAAGAAGGCCUUCGGGUUGUAAAGUACUUUCAGCGGGGAGGAAGGGAGUAAAGUUAAUACCUUUGCUCAUUGACGUUACCCGCAGAAGAAGCGCCGGCUAACUCCGUGCCAGCAGCCGCGGUAAUACGGAGGGUGCAAGCGUUAAUCGGAAUUACUGGGCGUAAAGCGCACGCAGGCGGUUUGUUAAGUCAGAUGUGAAAUCCUCGGGCUCAACCUGGGAACUGCAUCUGAUACUGGCAAGCUUGAGUCUCGUAGAGGGGGGUAGAAUUCCAGGUGUAGCGGUGAAAUGCGUAGAGAUCUGGAGGAAUACCGGUGGCGAAGGCGGCCCCCUGGACGAAGACUGACGCUCAGGUGCGAAAGCGUGGGGAGCAAACAGG